UUGUGUUUGAUGGUGUGUGGUGGUGUUUGACGGUAUGAGGUGGCGUAUGAUUGUGUUUGACGGUAUGAGGUGGCGUAUGAUUGUGUUUGAUGGUAUGAGGUGGCGUAUGAUUGUGUUUGAUUGUGUGAGGUGGCGUAUGAUUGUGUUUGAUGGUAUGAGGUGGCGUAUGAUUGUGUUUGACGGUAUGAGGUGGCGUAUGAUUGUGUUUGAUGGUAUGAGGUGGCGUAUGAUUGUGUUUGAUGGUGUGUGGUGGUGGUGUUUGUGCUGAAAUGUGUUACUCACGGUAAAAAAAAGGAACAAACUCGACGGUUAGAGGAGCCGCUUUAAACUUCUGUCUGCUCUUCUCCACGGUGCUGAUCUGCUGCCUACACACACACACAACACCACACACACACACACAGUAUUAUGAGACAAUCAACA
ensembl:lncRNA